GGAAAAUCAGAGUUUGAUCCUGGCUCAGGACGAACGCUGGCGGCGUGCUUAACACAUGCAAGUCGAGCGGUAAGGCCCUUCGGGGUACACGAGCGGCGAACGGGUGAGUAACACGUGAGCAACCUGCCCCUGACUCCGGGAUAAGCGGUGGAAACGCCGUCUAAUACCGGAUACGACCACCGGGUGCCUGCCUGGUGGUGGAAAGUUGUGUCGGUCAGGGAUGGGCUCGCGGCCUAUCAGCUGGUUGGUGGGGUAACGGCCUACCAAGGCGAUUACGGGUAGCCGGCCUGAGAGGGCGACCGGCCACACUGGGACUGAGACACGGCCCAGACUCCUGCGGGAGGCAGCAGUGGGGAAUAUUGCGCAAUGGGCGAAAGCCUGACGCAGCGACGCCGCGUGGGGGAUGACGGCCUUCGGGUUGUAAACCUCUUUUACCACCAACGCAGGCUCGGGGUUUUCUCCGGGUUGACGGUAGGUGGGGAAUAAGGACCGGCUAACUACGUGCCAGCAGCCGCGGUAAUACGUAGGGUCCGAGCGUUGUCCGGAAUUAUUGGGCGUAAAGAGCUCGUAGGCGGCGUGUCGCGUCUGCUGUGAAAGACCGGGGCUUAACUCCGGUUCUGCAGUGGAUACGGGCAUGCUUGAGGUAGGUAGGGGAAACUGGAAUUCCUGGUGUAGCGGUGAAAUGCGCAGAUAUCAGGAGGAACACCGGUGGCGAAGGCGGGUCUCUGGGCCUUAUCUGACGCUGAGGAGCGAAAGCAUGGGGAGCGAACAGGAUUAGAUACCCUGGUAGUCCAUGCCGUAAACGUUGGGCGCUAGGUGUGGGGACUUUCCGCGGUUUCCGCGCCGUAGCUAACGCAUUAAGCGCCCCGCCUGGGGAGUACGGCCGCAAGGCUAAAACUCAAAGGAAUUGACGGGGGCCCGCACAAGCGGCGGAGCAUGUUGCUUAAUUCGACGCAACGC
rnacentral:rRNA from 1 species